AACGUAGGUGGCAAGCGUUAUCCGGAUUUACUGGGCGUAAAGGGUGCGCAGGCGGCGGUUCGCGUGGCGCGAUGAAAUCUCCUGGCUUACCUGGGAGGAUGGUCGCCAGACGGGAUCGCUUGAGGGUCGGAGAGGUGAGUGGAACUGCGAGUGUAGAGGUGAAAUUCGUAGAUAUUCGCAAGAACACCAGUGGCGAAGGCGGCUCACUGGCCCGGUACUGACGCUGAGGUGCGAAAGCGUGGGGAGCAAACAGG
rnacentral:rRNA from 1 species